AUUGAACGCUGGCGGCAGGCCUAACACAUGCAAGUCGAACGGUAACAGGAAGAAGCUUGCUUCUUUGCUGACGAGUGGCGGACGGGUGAGUAAUGUCUGGGAAACUGCCUGAUGGAGGGGGAUAACUACUGGAAACGGUAGCUAAUACCGCAUAACGUCGCAAGACCAAAGAGGGGGACCUUCGGGCCUCUUGCCAUCGUAUGUGCCCAGAUGGGAUUAGCUAGUAGGUGGGGUAACGGCUCACCUAGGCGACGAUCCCUAGCUGGUCUGAGAGGAUGACCAGCCACACUGGAACUGAGACACGGUCCAGACUCCUACGGGAGGCAGCAGUGGGGAAUAUUGGACAAUGGGCGCAAGCCUGAUGCAGCCAUGCCGCGUGUAUGAAGAAGGCCUUCGGGUUGUAAAGUACUUUCAGCGGGGAGGAAGGGAGUAAAGUUAAUACCUUUGCUCAUUGACGUUACCCGAAGAAGAAGCACCGGCUAACUUCGUG
rnacentral:rRNA from 1 species